UCCUGUUGUAACCUCCCGCCUUCUGGUGGGGUUACUGAUUCCAAGCUCUGUAAUACAAGACUAAAAAGUUGCUUCAAUGCAAAAUUAUGAAAUGUAUGCCCGCAUUAUACUGGUGGGCGACCUAGAGCUGAAAGUAUUCCCGCAUUUUACUGGUGGGCGACCUAGAACAUGAAUGUAUUCCCGCAUUUUACUGGUGGACGACCUAGAACUGAAAUGUAUUCCCGCAUUUUACUGGUGGGCGACCUAGAACUGAAAUGUAUUCCCGCAUUUUACUGGUGGGCGACCUAGAACAGAAAGUAUUCCCGCAUUUUACUGGUGGGCGACCUAGAACUGAAAUGUAUUCCCGCAUUUUACUGGUGGGCGACCUAGAACAGAAAGUAUUCCCGCAUUUUACUGGUGGGCGACCUAGAACUUAAAAGUAUUCCCGCAUUUUACUGGUGGGCGACCUAGAACUGAAAUGUAUUCCCGCAUUUUACUGGUGGGCGACCUAGAACAGAAAGUAUUCCCGCAUUAUACUGGUGG
rnacentral:lncRNA from 1 species